GAGGAAGUAAAAGUCGUAACAAGGUUUCCGUAGGUGAACCUGCGGAAGGAUCAUUACUGAGUUUUGAAGUGGGCUUGAUGCUGGUGUCUUAACCGACGCAUGUGCUCAGCCCCGCUCUCAUCCACUCAACACCUGUGCACUUUCAAAGUUGUGGUCCUCCGUAAUGGGAGUCGCAGGUCUUUUUGACUUGCUGGGACUGCACUUUGCCAUUUAUCACAAACUAUAUACAUUGUCUUGUAGAAUGUUCAGCCUCAUUGUGGGCGAAACUUAAUACAACUUUCAACAACGGAUCUCUUGGCUCUCGCAUCGAUGAAGAACGCAGCGAAAUGCGAUAAGUAAUGUGAAUUGCAGAAUUCAGUGAAUCAUCGAAUCUUUGAACGCACCUUGCGCUCCUUGGUAUUCCGAGGAGCAUGCCUGUUUGAGUGUCGUGAAAUUAUCAACUCCCUUUCUUUAUUGAAGGGUGAGCUUGGACUUGGGGAUUGCUGGUGCAAAUUGGCUUCCCUUGAAUGCAUUAGCUGGAAUUUGAUUCGCAGCAUAUAUGCGGUGUGAUAAUGUCGUCACUGUGUAGCUCGGAUUGUCUGGCUUCUAAUCGUCCUUCACGGGACAAUUUGAUCUUUUUGACCUCAAAUCCGGUAGGACUACCCGCUGAACUUAAGCAUAUC
rnacentral:rRNA from 1 species